CCCUAACCUCUGCCCACCCACCUACACAUUCAGCCACCCCCCGCUCCCACUUCUCCUGGCUCCCGGCGGCGCCACCCCGCCCCACCUCCUCCCCGGCUCCGGCGCCGCCCCGUCCCGCCCCACCUCCUCCCCGGCUCGUGGCGCCACCCCGCCCCACCCCAGCUCCUCUCCGGAUCCUAGGGCCGCGCCGCCCCCAACCUCCAACCUCCCGGAUCCUGGUGCCGCCCUGCCCCUACCUCCUCCCUGUAUCCCGGCGCCGCACGCCCCCAUCUCCCUGGAUCCCCGCGACGCCUAGUCCCCAACCUCUCCGGCUCCUGGCGCCGCCAACCGCCAUCGUCUGCCAGCUCCGGUAGCCGCGUCCACCUGUUUCCUCCUGCGUGUCGGACGGUGCGAAUCUGGCCGACGUGGCGGGGCUGUGAGACUCGCCGGGGUGGAGCUCCUCCGCCUGUACCUCGAUUCAUAGUUCAUUGUCAGUACAGGUUCUGAAAUUUCCUAGUACAUGUUGGGGGACAUUUCUGGAAUCACGUAUCCUUGCUAACUUGCAGUUGUAAUUUUGAUUGCAUAGCAGUACAAUUUAGUUAUCUCUGAAGUUUUGAUUCACAGCAGGACAAUUUAGUCCCAGCUGCCAUGAUUCUGCAAACCAUUGUGCUGCCAAAAGAUGGUGCUUUGUUGCAACAAGUUGUGGGGAAAAUGCAGUGAAAAAAUAAAAUGUGCUUCCACAAGUUCAUAUGAUAUAUUGUUGUUAAUUCAAUUUCUUUUAUAUACCUCUACACAUGUUUCUUGAAAUGCUGACAAGGAGCUAGACUUUUUUUGUUCAUAUUUCUUGUUUCUUAAAACAACUGAUGUACUACUAUCAAAAUGGAAGCCACAAUAAAUAUCUCAUCUCUAAAUUGAUGAUUCAACCAUGUUUUCUUGUGUCUAUUACUGAACUGACAAUGUUACUAAACUUGUGUUCUCGCUGAUUCUGAACUGUUGCUCGUAGCAUUUGUGAUGCUCGUCUGAUUUUGGUUGGAAGUUUAAUGAAUCCAUACAUAGUUGAACUUUUAGGAAGUUAAAAGUUCAACGAGUGUCUUAGAGAAAGCUUGGAAGUUUUGUCUAUAUAAAAAAGAUAACAAAAAUAUAUGUGUUCUGACCUAAGAUGUUCAGGAAAGAGUUCCAGAACAUCCCCGGUCGCCGCGUCCCCGGGAAGCCAUGCGACAGCCACGACCACUGCGAGCUGCUGGUGCAGCAUCCAACCUGCCCCCAUGCGCCUCCAUCCCUCAAUCUCCCAGAUGCGUCGUCGCGAACUCUUUAUUCCCCAUCGCUGCCUCCUCCAACUCCUUUCAUGGCUCUGGAAAAUCACUGAUCAGAAUAUUCAGAUCACAUUUUCAAUGCGUUGUUUGAAACGCUACAAUAUAGAUAUAUAGUCCCAGCGCACUGCCACUGGCGUUGACACCACAGGGUCCUGAGGCCUCGGCAUUCAUGCCAAGGUGGUCCAAUAGAGCCAACAGAUUAAUCUGGGAAGGCCAGCAGGACGGAGGGAAAGGUUGACAUCGUGGGCGUCGACAUUUGUGAGGUGACCAGCACGGAUGAGGAGAGCGCAAAAACUGCACCUCAUGACGGUACUCCGGAUCCUGGUGCUUCUCUCCCUCUGCUGCCUAUGUUCUCAAGAUACGAGAGAGUGGGAUAUUCGCAUGAUUGUGGCUGGUUGGAGUGUAUGGUCUUGUGGAGAUCAUGGAUGUUAUUUGCUGAUGACACGAUGUAUAUAUAUACUACUAGAAGUUCCAGUACCUAUAUUACUACAAUUCUCUAAUAAAAAAUGUAUCAGUUCA